GACGAACGCUGGCGGCGUGCUUAACACAUGCAAGUCGAACGGAAAGGCCCUGCUUUUGUGGGGUGCUCGAGUGGCGAACGGGGGAGUAACACGUGAGUAACCUGCCCCUGACUUUGGGAUAACUUCAGGAAAAUGGGGCUCAUAUCGGAUAGGAGCUCCUGAUGCACGGUGGGGGUUGGUAAGUUUCGGCGGUUCGGGAUGGACUGGCGGCUUAUCCGCUUGUUGGUGGGGUAGUGGCUUACCAAGGCUUUGACGGGUAGCCGGCCUGAGAGGGUGACCGGGCACAUUGGGACUGAGGUACGGACCAGACUCCAACGGGAGGCAGAAGUGGGGAAUAUUGCACAAUGGGCGGAAGCCAGAUGCAGCAACGCCGCGUUCGGGAUGACGGCUUUCGAGGUGUAAACCGAUGUCGCCUGUGACGAGGCGUGAGUGACGGUAAUGGGUAAAGAAGCAACGGCUAACUACGUG
rnacentral:rRNA from 1 species